rnacentral:lncRNA from 1 species
AAAAGAUGAUUAGAAUAUGAGUGGUAGUUUCACAAUUAACAAUACCUCGAAUGGUAAUCUACUCUGCAAGCACACACAUAGUUUCCUUGAUAAAAAACUAAUACAAUAAACUUAAUUGAUAAAAUGAAAAACAUAACAUUCAAACCUGCAUAUAUAUGAACAUCUGUACAAGUAUAAACUCAGAGCAACAGAAUAACAAUGAAAGAGAGAAUGAACUCACAUAAACUAUUAAUUAUGAGUCUGGUUAGUAGAAGUCUUGUUCUAGUCAUAUUUAUCUAUUACAUAAAACCACAGAAAACCAUAAAGCCUGAUGGAACUAAUAUAAUUUGCAUAGAUUUGCAUCAUGUGCCUAAAUACAUCUAAAAGUUUACAGAGCAUAGAUAAGUGUAUAUCUAGCUAUGUGCCAAUGUAGAUCUUAACUUCUACAAAUUUUGUACCUGCAAUUCAAAAAGAGAUAAAUGAUUGCCUACACUUACUAUAGAAAGAGAAAAUAAUCCUAAGUUGAUUGCUUCUUCUCAAAUCCUCCAGCACAAAAGUUAAAAAUGCAACAGAUGAGUGCUUAUAAAAGAAUUAGAGGAGCAAAAACAAGUUUGUACCUGCAAUCCAUUAUUUUAACAUCUGUAUACCCACAUUAUGAUCCAAUGACAACCAUUCCACCAUCACCUUGCUCUUGCUCACUUUCUGGUCAAGGAUUGCUCUCGAGUUCCCAAAAUUUCCCACAUACAAAACAUCGAUCAUUUGUUAACAUCACAAAUUAGAUAUUAAGCCAAAACCUCAACGUAAUCACACAAAAUCUAUGAAACUAGAAUACAUAAUCCAUUAUUUAUAAUCCCUCACUGCAGCUCUACACAUUACUACAAAAAAAAAGUGAGAACAUGCAAUGUAGCCUAGUGAGGCAAUUUAACAAACAUCUGGUGUGCAUAAGAUCAGCAUUCGACAAACAUCCUAGGAUGAAGUACCAGCCCUUCUCAAUUUCGUCACCUACCACACAAACCCCGCAUCCCCAAUAUGAAGAAAACCCAACAAAAGCAAAUUUCAAAGAAAAUUCUAUAUUUGAACCCUAAUUUCCCAAAUCCAAUCCAAGCAAACACUAAAUCAGCUUACAAUAAGUCAAAGAGCUUACUGGCAAAGACAACAGGGAACCCAAAAUCUAUGAGUGCGCACUGAAGUUCGUCUUUUGUCAAACCCUAAUUUUGUGGCCGGCCGGUAGAUCGAGGGUGGGAGAUCGAAAUGGGUUCUUCGUGGGGAUGAGGUUCUUUUGGUUCAAGGGACUGAAGCGUUGAGAUUUUAGUUCACUCAAGGACAUAUCUAGUUGAGGGUGCUGGGUUUUCAGUUUCCUUUUGUUGAGAAUAAGAGUUGUCGGGCAGAGAGAAUGACAAUUGAGUUCAAACAAAAAAAGAGAAUAGAUAGUUGAUUUAAGUAAAAACCACCGCUGGACAAAUUUUUUUGUUUUAAAGAGACGAUACUCUUCUGUCGUCUUAAAAUGUUCAUAUCAAUUGUAAAAUUUCUCUUGUUUUUAAGACAACAGAUGGUUGUCGUCUCAUGAACACGCUAGUUUUAACUGUCUGUGGGUUGCUACAUUCAGACGACAGAAUUUUAAAUAUCUGUCGUAAAAUUUAAUCAGACGACAGUAAAAACGACUUCUGUCGUCUGAUACAUGUCGUAUGAUUGCAAAAUGCGUAGUGAAUUGAUUUGAUAAACCUAUCUUCUUCAGCAUAUUGAUGUUCCAAACUAGUUUUGGACCAAAAAGAUGUAUCCUACAACUGUUUGAAAGUGUUCAAUUGUACAGCGUUUGUUCAUGUUCCUAAAGAUGAGAGAGCAAAUCUCGAUUCCAAGUCGAAUGACUGCAUCUUCUUGGGAUAUUGAAAUGAAGAACUCAGGUAUACGAUAUGUGAUCAUGUUAAGAAAAAGAUUGUUAAAAGCAUAGAUGUUGUUUUCUUUGAAGACCAAGUUAUUG